rnacentral:tRNA from 3 species
AAGGAUUUAAGUUAAAAAAACUACCAACCUUCAAAGUUGGAAAUAGAGGCUCUCUAAGCCUUA